AUUGAACGCUGGCGGCAGGCCUAACACAUGCACGUCGAGCGAGCGGCGGACGGGUGAGUAAUGUCUGGGAAACUGCCUGCUGGAGGGGGAUAACUACUGGAAACGGUAGCUAAUACCGCAUAACAUCAGAUGUGCCCAGCUGGGAUAAGCUAGUAGGGGGGGUAAGGGAUCACCUAGGCGACGAUCCCUAGCUGGUCUGAGAGGAGGACCAGCCACACGGGAACGGAGACACGGUCCAGACUCCUACGGGAGGCAGCAGUGGGGAAUAUUGCACAAUGGGCGCAAGCCUGAUGCAGCCAUGCCGCGUGUGUGAAGAAGGCCUUCGGGUUGUAAAGCACGUUCAGCGAGGAGGCGUUACUCGCAGAAGAAGCACCGGCUAACUCCGUGCCAGCAGCCGAGGUAAUAC
rnacentral:rRNA from 1 species